rnacentral:pre_miRNA from 1 species
CGUGUACCGGUGGGGUCCCUCAGCCUGGCCUGUGCCCUCUCACAAUCCAGGACCCCUUGGGGGAUGUCAGAGAGCCGGUUUUGGCCUGGUCCUGCAGGCCAGGCUGAGGGACCCCACUGGUGCACG